CACAAUUCUAAUUUAGUCCAACAAAAAUACCAAGGUUCUCAGAACAUAAAGAAAUAGCAUCAAACAAGGUUCUUAAUAAUAGUACUGUAACAAAGCUCAGAGAAUUGGACACACUUGACCAAAAAGAACACUUGAUAAGCACCCAAAGCUCAGCGAUAUCGACGGAGGGAAAGAGUCUGGUUCCUCUUCCAGGUGGCCCUGCGAGAAGGUCUGGCCUUGUGGUGGAGAUGGCCCUUGCCUCUGAGACCACGGUAUUUCUUCCCUGCAGAUGUAAGACCUCGCAGUUCACGGUGCUUGUGGACACCCUUGCAUAUCCAAUUGAUUCUAGGAUCAUUGCGGAUGGCAUUGUGAGCAGCAUCCACAAGGAUUAUCUCGAAGUACUUGUAUGUCGAGUCCUCAUUAAUCCAGUAAGAGUUGAGAACCUUCAGCCCACCUAGCUUCCUCCCAGCUCUCUCCUCAGCCACGGAUCUCUUGUUCCUCUGAAAUUUUAGUUGGGUGAUACCCUGGUUCUUGGGCUUGCCAUACACAAUACCCUUG
rnacentral:misc_RNA from 1 species